rnacentral:rRNA from 1 species
UAACNGCCAAGAGAUCGGGAUAACACCUGGAAACAGAUGCUAAUACCGGAUAACAACAGAUGAUGCCUAUCAACUGUUUAAAAGAUGGUUCUGCUAUCACUCUUGGAUGGACCUGCGGUGCAUUAGCUAGUUGGUAGGGUAACGGCCUACCAAGGCGAUGAUGCAUAGCCGAGUUGAGAGACUGAUCGGCCACAUUGGGACUGAGACACGGCCCAAACUCCUACGGGAGGCAGCAGCC